UACGUAGGGAGCAAGCGUUGUCCGGAAUCAUUGGGCGUAAAGCGCGCGUAGGCGGCCUCAUAAGUCCGUUGUGAAAGUCAAAGGCUCAACCUUUGAAAGCCGAUGGAUACUGUGAGGCUAGAGUCCGGAAGAGGCGAGUGGAAUUCCUGGUGUAGCGGUGAAAUGCGCAGAUAUCAGGAAGAACACCCGUGGCGAAGGCGGCUCUCUGGGACGUGACUGACGCUGAGACGCGAAAGCGUGGGGAGCGAACAGG
rnacentral:rRNA from 1 species